AUGCAUUCUCAGGGCAGGGUGAAACUCCCUACCGGUGGUAAAUAUUUCGAUAUAAGCCCACGAGCGCUUACUUAUCUUAGUAAGGUCAGCAGAUUUGGUGAAAAUCCAAAGCCGACAGUGAUAGUCUGGAUGAAAGAGAAUAGAG
rnacentral:ncRNA from 2 species